GGUUAAGCGACUAAGCGUACACGGUGGAUGCCCUGGCAGUCAGAGGCGAUGAAGGGCGUGCUAAUCUGCGAUAAGCGCCGGUAAGGUGAUAUGAACCGUUAUAACCGGCGAUACCCGAAUGGGGAAACCCAGUGUGACUCGUCACACUAUCAUUAACUGAAUCCAUAGGUUAAUGAGGCGAACCGGGGGAACUGAAACAUCUAAGUACCCCGAGGAAAAGAAAUCAACCGAGAUUCCCCCAGUAGCGGCGAGCGAACGGGGAGGAGCCCAGAGCCUGAAUCAGCAUGUGUGUUAGUGGAAGCGUCUGGAAAGGCGCGCGAUACAGGGUGACAGCCCCGUACACAAAAAUGCACAUGCUGUGAGCUCGAUGAGUAGGGCGGGACACGUGGUAUCCUGUCUGAAUAUGGGGGGACCAUCCUCCAAGGCUAAAUACUCCUGACUGACCGAUAGUGAACCAGUACCGUGAGGGAAAGGCGAAAAGAACCCCGGCGAGGGGAGUGAAAAAGAACCUGAAACCGUGUACGUACAAGCAGUGGGAGCACAGGUUUACCUGUGUGACUGCGUACCUUUUGUAUAAUGGGUCAGCGACUUAUAUUCUGUAGCAAGGUUAACCGCAUAGGGGAGCCGGAGGGAAACCGAGUCUUAAUUGGGCGUUAAGUUGCAGGGUAUAGACCCGAAACCCGGUGAUCUAGCCAUGGGCAGGUUGAAGGUUGGGUAACACUAACUGGAGGACCGAACCGACUAAUGUUGAAAAAUUAGCGGAUGACCUGUGGCUGGGGGUGAAAGGCCAAUCAAACCGGGAGAUAGCUGGUUCUCCCCGAAAGCUAUUUAGGUAGCGCCUCGUGAAUUCAUCUCCGGGGGUAGAGCACUGUUUCGGCUAGGGGGCCAUCCCGGCUUACCAACCCGAUGCAAACUGCGAAUACCGGAGAAUGUUAUCACGGGAGACACACGGCGGGUGCUAACGUCCGUCGUGAAGAGGGAAACAACCCAGACCGCCAGCUAAGGUCCCAAAGUCAUGGUUAAGUGGGAAACGAUGUGGGAAGGCCCAGACAGCCAGGAUGUUGGCUUAGAAGCAGCCAUCAUUUAAAGAAAGCGUAAUAGCUCACUGGUCGAGUCGGCCUGCGCGGAAGAUGUAACGGGGCUAAACCAUGCACCGAAGCUGCGGCAGCGACGCUUAUGCGUUGUUGGGUAGGGGAGCGUUCUGUAAGCCUGUGAAGGUGGCCUGUGAGGGUUGCUGGAGGUAUCAGAAGUGCGAAUGCUGACAUAAGUAACGAUAAAGCGGGUGAAAAGCCCGCUCGCCGGAAGACCAAGGGUUCCUGUCCAACGUUAAUCGGGGCAGGGUGAGUCGACCCCUAAGGCGAGGCCGAAAGGCGUAGUCGAUGGGAAACGGGUUAAUAUUCCCGUACUUGGUGUUACUGCGAAGGGGGGACGGAGAAGGCUAUGUUGGCCGGGCGACGGUUGUCCCGGUUUAAGCGUGUAGGUGUGUGUUCCAGGUAAAUCCGGUUCACUUUAACACUGAGGCGUGACGACGAGGCACUACGGUGCUGAAGCAACAAAUGCCCUGCUUCCAGGAAAAGCCUCUAAGCAUCAGGUAACAUCAAAUCGUACCCCAAACCGACACAGGUGGUCAGGUAGAGAAUACCAAGGCGCUUGAGAGAACUCGGGUGAAGGAACUAGGCAAAAUGGUGCCGUAACUUCGGGAGAAGGCACGCUGACACGUAGGUGAAGUGAUUUACUCAUGGAGCUGAAGUCAGUCGAAGAUACCAGCUGGCUGCAACUGUUUAUUAAAAACACAGCACUGUGCAAACACGAAAGUGGACGUAUACGGUGUGACGCCUGCCCGGUGCCGGAAGGUUAAUUGAUGGGGUCAGCGCAAGCGAAGCUCCUGAUCGAAGCCCCGGUAAACGGCGGCCGUAACUAUAACGGUCCUAAGGUAGCGAAAUUCCUUGUCGGGUAAGUUCCGACCUGCACGAAUGGCGUAAUGAUGGCCAGGCUGUCUCCACCCGAGACUCAGUGAAAUUGAACUCGCUGUGAAGAUGCAGUGUACCCGCGGCAAGACGGAAAGACCCCGUGAACCUUUACUAUAGCUUGACACUGAACAUUGAGCCUUGAUGUGUAGGAUAGGUGGGAGGCUUUGAAGUGUGGACGCCAGUCUGCAUGGAGCCGACCUUGAAAUACCACCCUUUAAUGUUUGAUGUUCUAACGUGGACCCGUAAUCCGGGUUGCGGACAGUGUCUGGUGGGUAGUUUGACUGGGGCGGUCUCCUCCUAAAGAGUAACGGAGGAGCACGAAGGUUGGCUAAUCCUGGUCGGACAUCAGGAGGUUAGUGCAAUGGCAUAAGCCAGCUUGACUGCGAGCGUGACGGCGCGAGCAGGUGCGAAAGCAGGUCAUAGUGAUCCGGUGGUUCUGAAUGGAAGGGCCAUCGCUCAACGGAUAAAAGGUACUCCGGGGAUAACAGGCUGAUACCGCCCAAGAGUUCAUAUCGACGGCGGUGUUUGGCACCUCGAUGUCGGCUCAUCACAUCCUGGGGCUGAAGUAGGUCCCAAGGGUAUGGCUGUUCGCCAUUUAAAGUGGUACGCGAGCUGGGUUUAGAACGUCGUGAGACAGUUCGGUCCCUAUCUGCCGUGGGCGCUGGAGAACUGAGGGGGGCUGCUCCUAGUACGAGAGGACCGGAGUGGACGCAUCACUGGUGUUCGGGUUGUCAUGCCAAUGGCACUGCCCGGUAGCUAAAUGCGGAAGAGAUAAGUGCUGAAAGCAUCUAAGCACGAAACUUGCCCCGAGAUGAGUUCUCCCUGAGACUUAGAGUCUCCUGAAGGAACGUUGAAGACGACGACGUUGAUAGGCCGGGUGUGUAAGCGCAGCGAUGCGUUGAGCUAACCGGUACUAAUGAACCGUGAGGCUUAACCUU
rnacentral:rRNA from 1 species